rnacentral:piRNA from 1 species
UAGUCGAUUAUUGCUUUGGCUUCGG